UAGAGUUUGAUCCUGGCUCAGGACGAACGCUGGCGGCGUGCCUAACACAUGCAAGUCGAGCGGGGAUAGAGCCUUCGGGUGUCUAUUCUAGCGGCGGACGGGUGAGUAACGCGUGAACAAUCUGUCCUUUAGUGGGGGAUAACACAAUGAAAGUUGUGCUAAUACCGCAUGAGACCACAGUUCCGCAUGGAACAGGGGUCAAAGGAGCAAUUUGCUGAAGGGUGAGUUCGCGUCCCAUUAGCUAGUUGGUGAGGUAACGGCUCACCAAGGCGACGAUGGGUAGCCGACCUGAGAGGGUGAUCGGCCACACUGGAACUGAGAAACGGUCCAGACUCCUACGGGAGGCAGCAGUGGGGAAUAUUGGGCAAUGGGGGAAACCCUGACCCAGCAACGCCGCGUGAGGGAAGAAGGCUUUCGGGUCGUAAACCUCUGUCCUAUGUGAAGAGCAGAAGACGGUAGCAUAGGAGGAAGCCCCGGCUAACUACGUGCCAGCAGCCGCGGUAAUACGUAGGGGGCGAGCGUUGUCCGGCAAUGAUUGGGCGUAACAGGGCGCGUAGGCGG
rnacentral:rRNA from 2 species